rnacentral:rRNA from 1 species
UGCAGUCGAGCGGACCGACGGGAGCUUGCUCCCUUAGGUCAGCGGCGGACGGGUGAGUAACACGUGGGUAACCUGCCUGUAAGACUGGGAUAACUCCGGGAAACCGGGGCUAAUACCGGAUGCUUGAUUGAACCGCAUGGUUUCAAUCAUAAAAGGCGGCUUCGGCUGCCGUUUACAGAUGGACCCGCGGCGCAUUAGCUAGUUGGUGAGGUAACGGCUCACCAAGGCGACGAUGCGUAGCCGACCUGAGAGGGUGAUCGGCCACACUGGGACUGAGACACGGCCCAGACUCCUACGGGAGGCAGCAGUAGGGAAUCUUCCGCAAUGGACGAAAGUCUGACGGAGCAACGCCGCGUGAGUGAUGAAGGUCUUCGGAUCGUAAAGCUCUGUUGUUAGGGAAGAACAAGUACCGUUCGAAUAGGGCGGUACCUUGACGGUACCUAACCAGAAAGCCACGGCUAACUACGUGCCAGCAGCCGCGGUAAUACGUAGGUGGCAAGCGUUGUCCGGAAUUAUUGGGCGUAAAGCGCGCGCAGG